AUGGACCAUCAUGCACCAUAAUUUAAAAACUGUGUAAAGUGAUAAAACAGUGACUUCAUAUUUCUAUUCCAAGAACGUGGAAAGGCACAGCGCUCACUCAAACAUAUCAUGUACUUAGACUUUAACUUCAACCUGGAGCUAAUUAUUAAGCCCAGGAUGAAUGUAAAUAUUAUCAUGAACAUGGUGCAGGUGUCAUGUUGGUAUCAUGGUGCAAGUGUCAUGAUGGUAACAUGGUGCAGGUGUCAUGAUGGUAACAUGGUGCAGGUGUCAUGAUGGUAACAUGGUGCAAGUGUCAUGAUGGUAACAUGGUGCAGGAAUUGUGACUAACUUAACCGUUCAACAACUGUUAUGUCUCAACCAUUGUCUGAUCCUUUUAUUGUGUGUUCUUUCAGUGGCCAAACCUGUUUGUGU
ensembl:lncRNA